AUUGAACGCUGGCGGAAUGCUUUACACAUGCAAGUCGAACGGCAGCACGGGGGCAACCCUGGUGGCGAGUGGCGAACGGGUGAGUAAUACAUCGGAACGUGCCCAGUCGUGGGGGAUAACGCAGCGAAAGCUGUGCUAAUACCGCAUACGAUCUAAGGAUGAAAGCGGGGGACCGAAAGCCUCGCGCGAUUGGAGCGGCCGAUGGCAGAUUAGGUAGUUGGU
rnacentral:rRNA from 1 species